GAUGAACGCUGGCGGCAUGCCUAAUACAUGCAAGUCGAACGGCAGCACAGGGGAGCUUGCUCCCUGGGUGGCGAGUGGCGGACGGGUGAGGAAUACACCGGAAUCUACCCUUUCGUGGGGGAUAACGUAGGGAAACUUACGCUAAUACCGCAUACGAUCUGAGGAUGGAAGCAGGGGACCGCAAGGCCUUGCGCGAUUGGAUGAGCCGAUGUCCGAUUAGCUAGUUGGCGGGGUAAAGGCCCACCAAGGCGACGAUCGGUAGCUGGUCUGAGAGGAUGAUCAGCCACACUGGAACUGAGACACGGUCCAGACUCCUACGGGAGGCAGCAGUGGGGAAGAUUGGACAAUGGGCGCAAGCCUGAUCCAGCCAUGCCGCGUGUGUGGAGAAGGCCUUCGGGUUGUAAAGCACUUUUGUUGGGAAAGAAAUCCUGUCGGCUAAUACCCGGCGGGGAUGACGGUACCCAAAGAAUAAGCACCGACUAACUACGUGCCAGCAGCCGCAGUAA
rnacentral:rRNA from 1 species